UACGUAGGGCGCGAGCGUUGUCCGGAAUUAUUGGGCGUAAAGAGCUCGUAGGCGGCCUGUUGCGUCCGCUGUGAAAUCCCGGGGCUUAACCCCCGGGUCUGCAGUGGAUACGGGCAGGCUAGAGGCAGGCAGGGGGAGAACGGAAUUCCCGGGUGUAGCGGUGAAAUGCGUAGAUAUCGGGAGGAACACCUGUGGCGAAGGCGGCCCCCCUGGUUGGAUACUGACGCUGAUACGCGAAAGCGUGGGGAG
rnacentral:rRNA from 1 species